GGAUUUAGCUUUGCAAUAUUUCUGUUAGAAUAUAAACUUGAAAAUUCUGAAAGUUCUCCACUUCUGUGGGUACUCAAGUUUUCUUCCCACAUGAUGUGCAUGUUAGAUUAAUUUCCAAUUCUAAAUUAGUCUAUAUUGACAUGUUCGAGCAUGCCAUGUGAUGCUUGGCAAAUGUCUGCCAUGUAUGCAGUAAACCAGGAUAGGUUAUGAUCCCUUGCAUUCCCAAAUUGGAUUUAGUGUGUUUGAUAAUGGAUGGAUAGAUUAAUGCAAUAAUGUGUGAUCAACCAUAAAGGAUACUUUUUUUUCUUUUUAGAUGAAUUCCAGCAAAAGAAAUAAGAGAAAAAUAUGCUUUAGGGAUUGUUACUCUUUUUCCUUCUCUUAAGGAUCCCUUUUCUACAAAAGGAUAUGAACAUUUUUAUGAUACAGAGAGCUGUACUGGUUACCUUGCUUGGCACCUAAAAAUGGUGCAGUGCAAGACUUUGUUUCAAAGCAAGGAAGUAAAUAAAAUAAAACUGGAGGUCCAAGUUCAGUGUGAGAAAUUCUUCAUCCAGAAGAACAGCUAACUGGAGACAAUUGCAGAGAAGCAGUAUCUUUCCUGACUCAUUGUUCAGAUAAAGCACUCAUUUAUGAGAAAAUGAGAAAAACAUUUCAAUACCACCAGCAACUGGUGCAUGACCCAGAGAAAAUGAUAUCUGUACUUUCCGUCUUUCCAAGAUUUUUGGAUACAAAAGGCUUGAUAUGUUAUAAGUAAUAAAAAUGAAAACAAUGAGCUGUAGAAUAACCUUUUAAAAUUUUACUUAUCUAUCAGUUUUAUACAUAUACUCUGUAGUCAGUUGAUUUUUUUUUCUGUGUAACUUUUUAUUUUAGUCAGUGUCAUCUUGAAAGCAUAUGGUGUGAAAUAAUUGUGAAAUGUAAAAUUUGAUUGAAAAUUUGUAAAUCUCUAAGUUAUACGUAUUCUGUUUUAAUCUGUUAAAGGUAAAUCAAGAUUUCAGUCUUUUAUUUGGCUCUGACACAUCUUCCAAAUUGCUUGAGAAGUGGGAUACCUGCUUUAAGUUUAAGAUUAUUAAAGAAGCAAGAUCUCUGACAGGUCAGAUGGCUGAUUUGAAUAUUCUGCUGAAGUGUGCAGAAUCUACCUUUGAUUGUGAAGAUCAUGAAUCAUCAGGGUUUAUUGGUUGGGAUGCAGACAUGGCCUCAAUUUUGUUAUUAGUCUAUCUUUUACCACCAGCA